rnacentral:lncRNA from 10 species
UAUCAUCCACUCUGAAGAAGGUAGACACAAAAUUAAGCAGUGUUUGAUAUAUUGAUCAUGAGGAGAGGGCUCACCCCUCACCCGGAGAAGUAGUUGGGGAAGCAAUAUGCGGAAACAAAGCCAUGAAUCUGACAAGAAAUGUACUUAAGAUUGUAUAUAUGGAGAUGAAUACCCAUUGUCCUUUGCACUUUCUGGAUGAUAAAUUAGAAAAGAAAAAUCCAAAGAAUGAAGUUGUGCUAUUUGUCCUCACUUCUGAUUUGGGAAACUAGAGGAAAUUAAGAUGGGAAAAGACCAUGUGAGGACACAGUGAGAAGGAGACCAUAUGCAAAGCAGGAAGGAAGAUCUCACUGGAACCAAAAACCAGCCCUGCUGGCACCCUGAUCUUGGACUUCUAGCCUUUCUCAGAACUGUGAGAAAAUAAAUUUCUGAUGUUUCAGCCACUCAGCCUGUGGUCGUUCGUUAUGCAACCCUAGCAGACAAACAGGGACCUAGCUUAAGAACUGGUUAAAAAUGAGGCCAGUGAGGAAUUUGAUACUCUAUGGUUGGGAAAGUUUGAUUUAUUCUAAGUGCAAUGGAAUGGAGCUGGGGAUAUAAAUUUUGGAUUUACUGGCAGGUGAAACAUAUUUUAAAAUAGACUAAAAUUAAAUUUCCUAAGGACAGAAUGUAGACAGAAAAGAAUCAAGGUUUUAUGACCAAGAUCCAAGUCACUCCAAUAUUUAGAGUUCUCCCAAGCAUUUAAAGAAGGCUUACACUGAUUCUAUGUAGCAUCUUCCAAAAAAUAGAAAUUUUUCACGGCAUCUUUCCAAGUCAUUAUAUGAGGCCAAAAUUACCUUGAUAUUUUAACCAAAGACAGUACGAGAGAAAAAGCUAUAGAUCAAUAUCUCACAUGAACUUAGACAUAACAUUUCUAAACAAAAUAUUAGCAACUUGAAUCCAGAAAUAUGUAAAAAAGAAUUAUGCAACAUAGCCAAGUGGGAUCUAUUCCAGGUAUGCAAUGCUUUUAAAUGUUUGAAAAAAAGUCAAUAUAAUCUACCAUAUUAACAGGCUAAUCACAUGAUCAUAUCAGUUGAUGAAGAUCAAAUCUAUGACAAAAUUUAACACCUAUUUAUAAUUUUAAAGAACCUCUCUAAAAAUAAAAAAUAGAAGGAAAUAUCCUCAAAUUGAUAAAGAUCAUUUACAGAAAACACAAAAGCUAGCAUUACACUUAAUGGUGAGAAUCUGAAUUAGUUCCCCCUAAGAUCAGGACCAGGCAAAGAUGUUUGCUAUCAUCACUCUCAUUCCAUAUAGUGCUGGAAGUUCUCACUGGUGCAAUAAGGCACACAGUGGAAAUAAAGACACUGAAAUUUGUGUUAGUUAAUUUUGUGUUGCUAUAACGGAAUGCCACAGAAUGGAUAAUUUAUUAAGAAAAUUGUUUAUUUCUUACAGUUUUGGAGGCUCAGAAGUUCAAGGUGCAGGGGCCCACAUCUGGUGAGGGCCUUCUUGCUGUAUCAUCCCAUGGCAGAAGGCAAAAGGGCAAGAGUACAAGAUAGAAAGAGAAAGAGGGAUGGGGGAAGGUUGAUAUGAGGGAGCCAAACUCAUCCUUUUUAUCCAGAGUCCACUCCUGAGAUAAUUAAGUCACUUCCGCAAUACAUCAUUAAUCCAUUCAGAGCCCUCAUGACCUAAUCACCUUUUAAAGGUUCCACUUAACGCUGUUGCACUGGGGAUUAAGUUUCCAAUACAAAAACUUUGGGGGAUGCAUUCAAACUAUAGCCAGUUUGAAUGGAAAAAAAUUUAACUGUUUCUAUUUCAAAUGACCUAAUUGUAUACAUAGAAAAUUCCAGGCAAUCUUUUAAAAACUCCCAGAACUAAUGUAUAAGUUUAGCAAGAUCAUAGGAUCCAAGACCAACACACAAAAAUCAAUCAUAUUUUUAUACGCUAGCAAUGAAUAUGUGGAAAACACAAUUAAGAAUACAAGACUAUUUACAAUUAUUUCAAAAAAGAGAGAAAUAAUUAGAUACAAAUCUAAUGUACACAUAGGUCCUCUAUGCCAAAAAUGACAGAACCCAAAGGAACAAAUGCAAAGGACCUUUAAAUAAAUGGAGAGAUGACUUUGUAAUGGAUAGAAAGAUUCAACAUAAUAAAGAUGUCAAUUCUCUCCAACUUCAUCAACAGGGGCAAUUCAAUUCAUAUCAAAAUUCCAAAAAAAUUUUUUUGCAGAUAUAGUAAAAUUUAUUUUAAAAUUUAUAUCUCAAGGCACAGGCCAUGGACUAAGUAAAAUUAUUUUGAAAUUGAAUAAAGUUGGGUAGAUUAUUAUAUCCAAUGUUAAGACUUAAUAUAUGGCUACAAUAAUCAAGAGAGUGUGAUAUUGGUUGGGGGAAUAGACUCAUAGAUCAAUGGAACAGAAGAGAUAACCCGAAACUAAACAACACAAAUAUGCCCAGCUGAUUUUUGCAAAGGUUAUAAAAGCGGUUCAGUGGAAGAACAGUUCUUUCAACAGAUGAUGUUAAAGCAAUUAGAUGUCCAAGGGCAAAUAAUUGAGUCUCAACCUAAACCUAAUACUUCAUUCAAAAAUUAAUUCAAAGUGUAUUAUAGAUUUAAAUAUAAAUGUAAAACUAAAAAACUUUAGCAUAAAACAAAGAAAAAUUUUAGGAAGUAGGGCUAGAUGAGAAGAUCUUAGAUAUGACACCAAAAGCACAACUCAUAAGAGAAUAUAAUUACUCUAUUGGACUUCAUAAAAAUUAAAAACUUUUGCUCUGUGAAAGACUACAUUUAGAGAAUGAAAAGUUAAUCUAAAGUUAAUCUACAGACUAGAGGAAAAUAUUUGCAAAUCACAAGAUUCAACAUAGGGCUUCUACUUAGAAUAUAUAAAGAGCUCUCAAGCUGAACAUUAAAAGAAAAAUAAGCAGGCUGGUCUGAAGAUAGCGAAGUAUCUCAACUGAUUGUUCACAGUUCGUUAAGGAUCUUACUCUUUGUUCUACAAUUCCCCCCUUCUCACUACUGCACUUGACUAAUAAAAAAGCAAUUAAAUUAGAAAAUUUAUAAACAAAAUUAACAAAAGAUUUUUAACUGGGGAGAGAUGAUAUCUCAUUUUAGUUUUGAUUUGCUUUUCUCUGAUAAUCAAUGAUGUUGAAUGCGUUUUCACAUGCCUGUUUGACAUUUGUAUGUCUUCUUUUGGGCAACGUCUAUUCAAAUCUUUUGCCCAUUUUUUAAAUCAAAUUAUUAGAUUUUUUCCUGUAAAAUUGUUUGAGCUCCUUAUAUAUUCUAAUUAUUAAUCCCUCAUCAGGUGGGUAGUUUGCAAAUAAUUUCUCCCACUCUGCACAUUGUCUCUUCACUUUGUUUAUUGUUCCCUUCAUUCUGCAGAAGCUUUUAAACUUGAUUUGACCCCACUUGUCCAUAUCCAAAAGACAGGCAAUAACAAAUGCUGGUGAGGAUGUGGAGAAAAGUGAAUGCUUGUACACUGUUUGUGGGAAUAUAAAUUAGUAUAACCACUCUGAAGAAUAGUUUGGAGGUUCCUCGAAAAAUUAAAAAUAGAGCUACCAUAUGAUCCAGCAAUACCAUUCCUAGGUAUAUGACCAAUAGAAGGGAAAUCAAUAUAUUGAAGAGAUACCUGCACUCCCAUGUUAGCUGAAACACCGUUCAUAAUAGCCAAGAUUUGGAAGCAAUCUAAGUGUCCAUCAAUAGAUGAAUGGAUAAAGAAAGUGUGGUACUUAUACACAAUGGAGAAUUAUUUAGCCACGGAAAAGCAUGAGAUCCUGUCAUUUGCAACAACAUGGAUGGAACCGGAGAUCAUUAUGUUAAGUGAAAUAAGCCAGGCACAGAAAGACAAAGAUCACAUGUUCUCACUUAUUUGUGGGAGCUAAAAUUUAAAACGAUUGAACUCGUAUACAUAGAGUGUAGAGGAUGGUUACCAGAGGCUGGGAAGGGUAGUUGGGGUUGAUAGGGAAGAUGAAAAUAGCUAAUGGGUUAAAAAAAAUGAAAGAAUGAAUAAUACCUGGUAGUUGAUAGCAAAACAGGGUUACUAUAGUCAAAAUAAUUUAAUUGUAUAUUUUCAAAUAACUAAAAGAAUGUAAUUGGAUUGUUUGUAACACAAAGGAUAAAUGCUUAAGGAGAUGAAUACCCCAUUUACCCUGAUGUGAUUAUUAUAUGCAUUGCAUACCUGUCAUCUGGAUGUCCAAGCAGAAGUUUGCUGCAGAGGUGGGGCCUCAUGAAGAACCUCUGCUAGGGCAGUGUGGAAGAGAAAUGUGGGGUUGGAUGCCCCAGAGUCCCCACUGGGGCACUGCCUAGUAGAGCUGUGAGAAGAGAGCCACCAUCCUCCAUACUCCAGAACGAUAGAUCCACCAACAGCUUGCACUAUGCGCCUGGAAAAGCUGCAGACAUUCAACACUAGCCCCUGAAAGCAGCCAGGAUGGGGGCUGUAUCCUGCAAAGCCACAGGGGAGGAGCUGCCCGAGGCUGUGGGAGCUCACCUCUUGUAUCAGCAUGACCUGGAUAUGAGACAUGAAGUCAAAGGAGAUCAUUUUGGAGCUUUAAGAUUUAAUGAUUGCCCCUUGGGAUUACAGACUUGCAUGGAGUCUUAGCCCUUUUGUUUUGGCCAAUUCCUCCCAUUUGGAACAGGUAUAUUUACCCACUGCCUGUACCCCCAUUAUAUCUAGGAAGUAACUCACUUGCUUUUGAUUUUACAGACUCAUAAGUGGAAGGGACUUGCUUUGUCUCUGAUGAUACUUUGGACUGUGAACUUUUGAGUUAAUACUGAAAUGAGUUAAGACUUUGGGGGACUGUUGGGAAGGCAUGAUUGCUUUUGAAAUGUGAGAACAUGAGAUUUGGGAGGGGCCAGGGGCUGAAUGAUAUGGUUUGGUUGUGUCCCCACCCAAAUCUCACCUUAAAUUGUAAUAAUCCCCAUGUGUCAAGGGUGGGGCCAGGUGGAGAUAACUGGAUCAUGGGGGCGGUUUUCCCCAUACUGUUCUCAUGGUAGUGAAUAAGUCUUACGAGUCUGAUGGUUUUAUAAAUAAGACUUCCCCAUACAAGCUCUCUUUUGCCUGCCACCAUGUAAGAUGUGACUUUACUCCUCAUUUGCCUUCCGCUAUGAUUAUGAGGGCUCCCUAGCUAUGUGGACCUGUGAGUCCAUUAAACCUCUUUCCUUAAUAAAUUACCCAGUCUUGGGUGUGUCUUUAUUAGCAGUGUUUGAACAGACAAAUAUACAA